rnacentral:rRNA from 1 species
GUCCCAGCAGCCGCGGUAAUACGUAGGGUGCGAGCGUUAAUCGGAAUUACUGGGCGUAAAGCGUGCGCAGGCGGAUUGUUAAGCAAGACGUGAAAUCCCCGGGCUUAACCUGGGAAUGGCGUUUUGAACUGGCAGUCUAGAGUGCGUCAGAGGGGGGUGGAAUUCCACGUGUAGCAGUGAAAUGCGUAGAGAUGUGGAGGAACACCGAUGGCGAAGGCAGCCCCCUGGGAUGACACUGACGCUCAUGUACGAAAGCGUGGGUAGCAAACAGGAUUAGAUACCCUGGUAGUCCACGCCCUAAACGAUGUCAACUGGUUGUUGGGGGAGUGAAAUCCCUUAGUAACGAAGCUAACGCGUGAAGUUGACCGCCUGGGGAGUACGGUCGCAAGAUUAAAACUCAAAGGAAUUGACGGGGACCCGCACAAGCGGUGGAUGAUGUGGAUUAAUUCGAUGCAACGCGAAAAACCUUACCUACCCUUGACAUGUCCGGAAUCCUGCAGAGAUGCGGGAGUGCCCGAAAGGGAAUCGGAACACAGGUGCUGCAUGGCUGUCGUCAGCUCGUGUCGUGAGAUGUUGGGUUAAGUCCCGCAACGAGCGCAACCCUUAUCAUUAGUUGCUACGCAAGGGCACUCUAAUGAGACUGCCGGUGACAAACCGGAGGAAGGUGGGGAUGACGUCAAGUCCUCAUGGCCCUUAUGGGUAGGGCUUCACACGUCAUACAAUGGUCGGUACAGAGGGUUGCCAAGCCGCGAGGCGGAGCCCAAUCCCAGAAAGCCGAUCGUAGUCCGGAUUGUUCUCUGCAACUCGAGAGCAUGAAGUCGGAAUCGCUAGUAAUCGCGGAUCAGCAUGUCGCGGUGAAUACGUUCCCGGGUCUUGUNCACACCGCCCGUCACACCAUGG